GAGUCCUCAAAGAAAGUGACAUCAGCGGAGAGAAAGUAGCGAUGAGUCUUAGAGAGAUAACAACAAUAACCCUUUUGAAGUCUGGAAUAUCCUAAGAAGAUGCAUUUUGUGGCUCUGGCAGAAAGUUUGUCCUGUCCAGGAGUGAGAUUAUGAACAAAGCAAGUACAACAAAAAACACGAGGAGGAAGGAAAUAAAGUGGUUGGUCAGGGAAAAGAAGGGAAUGAGGAAUCUGAUCGUGUAAUACAGAUGAGGGCAUACGAUUAAUCAAUUAACAUGCUGUAAGAACAGCGUCCCCCCAAAAACGAAAAGAAACAUGACUAUGUAGAAGGAGAGUACGAGCUGUCUCAACAAGAUGUCGAUUCUUACGUUCAGCAACCCCAUUUUGUUAAGGAGUAUGAGCACAAGAAGACUGAUGAAUGAUCCCAUGUUGGGACAUAAAUGAAGUAAAUGGUGCAGAAAAAUAUUCCUUGGCAUUGUCAUUGCGCAACACACGAAUAGAAAUAUUGAACUGAGUUUGGAUUUCAGCAUAAAAUUUCUAGAAAAUAGAGAACAACUCAGCUAAAUUUUUUAUUAAAAAUAACCAAGUACAUCGAGAAUAGUCAUCAAUGAAAGUGACAAAAUACUGAAAUCCUAAAGUAGACGCGGUCCGAAAAAGACCCCAAACAUCAGUGUGGGCAAGUUCAAAAGGAGACUUUGCCCAAUUAUUCAAACGCUUUGGGAACGAGACACAAGUAUGUUUCCCAAGCUGACAAGACUCACAUGCAAGCGACGACAAAGAUGAAAAACUAGGGACCAUUUUCUGGAACUUGGAUAGACUAGGGUGGCCCAGGCGACUCUGGAUGAGGAGGGGAGCAUCAGUGGAAAUGCAAACUGCAGGAGUUGAAGGCGAGGUGAGGUGAUAGAGGCCUUGAGACUCAUGUCCUAUGCCAAUCGUCUUCCCUGUACUCCGGUCCUGCAUGGUCACAAAUUUAUCAGAGAAAGUGAUAGAACAAUUAAGAGUGCGAGUUAUUUUGCUAAUGGAAAUAAGAUUGAAAGGAUACUCAGGGGCAUAAAGGACAGAAUGGAGAGGUAGGGAAGGGAGAGGAUGAGCGAAACCAAAACCUUUAGUCAUAGUUUAGGAACCAUUAGUUAAAAUAACAGUAGGUAAGACAGAGGUAGUAGUAAUAGAAGAGAAAAGAUCCUUAUUAUCAGAUAUGUGAUCAAAAGCACCGGAAUCUAGAAUCCAAGGUCCAAGAGAAGAUGUGUGGGUAAGACAAGCAGAAGCAUUACCAGUCUAGGCAACAGAAGCUGACUUGGUGGCCUGAUAGCGGAGAUAGUCAUCAUACUCACUAUCAGUGAGGAAAAUAUCCUGAGAUGUGGAGGAACUGGGAGGCUGAGGCGACUGAGGAUCAGAUGACUAGGCCACGUGGGCAGUGCGGGGAGGCCGCCCAUGUAACUGAUAACACCGAUCAUGGGUGUGGCCAAGCUUAUUGCAAUAGGUGCAAUGAGGACGUUGACCUCUACCUCGGUUACCACUGUGUCCUCCUCGAGAGUUAGUUUGAGAAACUAACACAGAAGAAUCUGAAGUGUUAUCAGAUGGAAAAGUCUGAGUAGAGGAGAUACGGAGGAGGCGAGCAAACACAUCAUCCAAGGAUGGAACGGAGGAACUGCCAAGAAUCUGAUCGUCGACAGUCUCGAGAUCUGGACGGAGGCCAAUAAGCGUAAGAACCAUGAAGAACUUGUCAAUCUGUAUUCGUUGAUCCCCAACAUCAGUAGUAAGCAUAGUUCUGAAAGGCGCGCCUAGGCUCGGGGCGGCGCGACGCCACCCUCCGGCGCCUCGCCUGAAGGGAGGCGACGCCCCUUCACGAAGGCGCCGCUUAGGCGCGCAAGGCGCUCGCCUCCAACAAGGCGCGAGGCAGUCGCCCGAGUCGCCUCCGACGGUCCGACCAGGUACGCACUCCUCCUUCUCCUUCUCCUCCUCCUUCUUCUUCUUCUUCUUCUUCCUCCUCCAGUCGAGUUGCAGAGAGGCGGCCAACCCUAAUUUUUUUUUUUUUUUUUUUUCUGGGCCUAAAACGACGCCGUUUUGGACUGUUCCUCCCAUCUAGGAACCCUUUUCUGGUCUUUCUCAACCCGAGACCAUUGCCAUUCUUUGCCCUAGCCUCUUCCGUGCUGGAGAAGUGAAGAAGAAGAAGAAAAAUAGGAGGAAAAUAGAAGAAAAAUAAAGGGGAAAUAGUCACGUACCUUCCGGACCUCAGUAUUUUUCUUUUUUGUUCACUUUUCUACAUUUUUUUCCAUUCUUAUCUCAUAACUCUCAUUGGCAAUUUUGUUUUUUUAAAUAUAAAUAUUAUAUUUUGAGUUUUUGACAUGAAAAUUUUAUAAAAUAAAAAUAAAUAAAUAAAAAGCACUCAUAUGCAUAUUUGUUGUUAAUGUGAUAUUUGAUAAUGUGAUAUGCAUUUUUUUUUCAAUUUAAUUAUAAUUAUUUUAUUGUAGAGUAUAGAUAAUUUGUUUGCAAGAUGGAUAAUGAGAGUGAAACUCAAGUGAACUCUAGUGCAAGUGGAAGAAGAGAUCCGGGGUGGAAAUAUGGUCGUUUGGUUAAUGAAAAAGAUUUGAACACCAUCAUAUGCAUUUUUUGUGAUAAAGUUACCAAAGGAGGCAUAUAUAGACACAAACAACAUCUUGUUGGUGGAUAUAGAAAUGCUAAAAAGUGUAGAAAAUGUCCGGAACAUGUUAGAGAAGAAAUGGAAGAGUAUAUGAGUUCCAAGAAAAAUCAAAAAGAGCAAAUGAAUAUGGAGAGCGAAUAUGUUAAUGAAGAUUUGUUUGGUUUGGAAGAUGAAAAUAUUGGUGAAGAGAUUAAUAGUAGAACGAAUGUCACCAACAUUUCUAGUGGAGGUAGUAACCGAGGAGGAAGUGGUGGUAGGACGUUUUCUUCAAAAAAACCAAGACAAAAAGGUCAUAUAGAUCAUUUUUUCACUCCUAAUGCAGAGAUGGUUGUUCAAAAUCGAAGGAGUGGAAAGAUGAAUCAAACUACCAUCAAUGAUGCCUACAAAAAGGAAGCAAGAGAAAGAGCUUGCAUGCUUAUCACAAGAUGCAUGUAUGAGGCUGCUAUUCCAUUUAAUGCAGUCACAUAUCCGAAUUUCCAACCAAUGAUUGAGGCUAUUGGCCAAUAUGGUGUGGGUAUGAAGGGACCAACUUUUCAUGAGGUAAGAGUUACUAACCUUAAGAAAGAAUUGGCUCUCACAAAAGAUUUGAUGAAAGAUCAUAUGGUGGAAUGGGGGAAAAAUGGAUGUUCAAUUAUGUCGGAUGGAUGGACCGAUAGGAAAGAGAGAACUUUGGUGAACUUUUUGGUUAAUUGUUCAAAGGGAACCAUGUUCAUGCAAUCCAUUGAUGCUUCUUCAAUGAUUAAAACGGGAGAAAAGAUGUUUGAGUUACUUGACAAAUGGGUAGAGCAAGUUGGUGAGGAGAAUGUUAUUCAAGUUAUAACAGAUAAUCACUCAAGUUAUGUGAUGGCAGGUAAUAAAUACUAUUUCUUAAAUUUUUAUUUACUUUUAAAAUUUGAAUUAUUUAUCUUGAGAACUUAUGUAAAUUUAUGAGCUUAUGAAUUUUUGCAGAUUCAUAGCAAGAGGAGAAAUAGGUUAGAUCAUCAACGCUUGAAUGAUUUGGUGUACAUUAAGUAUAAUCGAGCCUUGAAGAGAAGAUACAAUGCACGUAACACCAUUGACCCAAUUUCCUUGAAAGAUAUAAAUGAUAGCAAUGAAUGGUUGAUAGGGAGAAUGGAAGAUGAGGAUUCUCAUGGAGGUGCACAAGAUGAUUUUGUAUUUGAUGAUGACAAUUUGACAUGGGGUGAUGUUGCUAGAGCUGCUGGAGUUGAGGAGGCUAGGUUUGAUACUAGAGCUAGAGCUAGAGCAAGCUCAAGCAUAAUACCACCAACAAGGGGGAUAGCUUCAAGUUCUAGAACUUUGCCUUCUCAUUCACUAAUAGAUGAAGAUGAAGAUGGAGGCAUGGUUGAUUCAGCAGAUGAAGAAGAUGGAAAAGGCUACAAAUGUGGUGAUGGAAAUGAUGAUAAUGAUGAUUUUGUUGAUUUAGAGGAGUGAUGAUUGCUUGUUGUGGACAAAUUUGUGAUUUAAGUGUUUUUUAAUGAUGUUUUUGAAUUAUGGACAAAUUUCAUGUUUUGGACCUUUAGGUUUGGAAACUUUGGAUUUGGAUAUGUAUUAGGCAAUUAGCAAUAUGGAUUUGGAUUUGUUUUUAUGCUUGGAGUUCUUUAUUUUUAUGUUUUUUGUUUAUUAAAUUGAAGUUUUGGAUGAUAUUUGAUGAUUUAUGUGUUUAGGACAAAUAAAUGAUUGUUAAAUUUGAUUAUAUUAUAUAAAAAUAUAUAUGUAAAUUAGGGUGCGCCUCACUUCACUAAAGUCCGCGCCUUAGAUGCGCCUUGCGCCUCAGGCUCCAGGACUACUUUGCGCCUUGAGCCUUUUAAAACUAUGGUAGUAAGAGACAUCACGGUCAAGAAUUCCUCCUUAAGAGAGGCAAUCUGGCCAAUAUAAGUAGAUAAAUCCAUGUCUUGUUGUCUGACAUUGACAAUAGAAGAAGCCACCUUAUAAAGACGUUGGAUAUCAUUCGUGUAUAGCUCUUUCGCCUGAUUCCAAAAUUUAAAGCAUGUUUUGUAGGCUUGAAGAUGAAGCAGAAUCUUAGAAUCAACUGAUUACCAUAACACAUUACAUAAUUGUGCAUCUAUCUUCCUCCAUUGUACUCUGUCAGCCUCAGGGAUAUCCGCCUCCUGCGUAACAAGGUGAUCCUCAUAACCUUGACCCAUAAACCAAAGCUCUACAGAGGCAGAUCAGGACAAAUAAUUUUCACUGCCAACCAAUUUCUCCGAAGUAAUCAUAGGAGAUCCAGAUAUGAUAGAGGAAAAAGUGGAACUUUUAGUAGCCAUAUCUACUUAUCUGGAGAACGAAAUAUGUUUGGACCGAAGAGAGCCCUAAUACGACUUCAGAUCGCGGCUGAAAGAAGAAAAACCGAGGAUCUGCGGCUGUGAGAGACCAAAUAGUAAAGGAAAACAAAUGUGACACUACUGGAAAGGUAGAAGAACACUUCCUAAGACACGUGCAGGGCUCGGGGUGGAGAGGAAGUCACCGGAGGUCGUCGGAAAGGCUGUUUAGAGGGCCGACGGAGACAAAAAACCCAAAAAAUGCACUUUCAGGGCUCGGAUGACACAAGCACAGAUGGAGGGUGGCUAGACGGCAUUAGGCGAGGCUGGAGGUGGAAGCGCGUGGCCGGAAAGUGCUCCACGGGCCCUCACACGCUGGCGCGUAAGAUUCAGGCCGCCGGAGAAGAAACGCACGUGGAUGAGAUUCUCCCUCCGGUGCUUUGAGAAAACUUGAAGAUCUCCUCCUUGCGCACCUGAUGGUAUGGUUGGUGUCGGAAAAUGACUUCGCCGGAAAAGUCGCCGACGGUGAGGGUUUUCUGACGGCGAUACGGUUGAUCGGAAAGCUUUAGGAGAUGGGAAGGGUGACCGGAAUGAAACACGGUCACUGAAAAAUUUCCCAGAAUGGAUUCACGGAUAAACCGGAAAUAAUUAAGGUUUUUUUUUUUUUUUUUUCUCCCUAAGCUCUGAUACCUUGUGAAAAGAGAGAAAAAGGAGAAUCCCUAAUUAUUGUUACUGAAAAACUGUAAAAAAUACACAUUGGACUUGAGUAUAUAUAUACAUGUUAGUGGGACCCACAAUACAAUAAGGAAAGAAAAGGAAAAGGAAAAGUAAAUAACCUAAAUAACUGUACACUAUCUAACAGUUUCAUUUUUUUUUUUGGUUUUAUUAAAUGUUUAGGUUUUUUCUAAAGCAUAUUAAUAAUGGCAAUUUUUGCAAAACAAAAUUAUGAUGAAUAAUACCAAUUUUUCCACAACACUUAUAAUUUCCAAUGUUAAUGUUAGAUAGUGUACAGUUAUUUCAGUUAUUUAUUUUUCCUUUUCUUUCCUUAUUGUAUUGUAGGUCCCAUUAACAUGUAUAUAUAUAUAUACCCAAGUCCAAUGUGUAUUAUUAACAGUUUUUCAAUAACAAAAAUGAGAGAUUUUCCCUUUUCUCUCUUUUCACAUGGUAUCAGAGCUUAGGGAGAAAAAAAAACCUAAUUAUUUCCGGUUUAUCCGUGAAUCAAUUCUGGAAAACCUUUCAGUGACCGUGUUUCAUUCCGGUCACCUUUCCCAUCUCCUAAAGCUUUCCGAUCAACCGUAUCGCCAUUAGAAAACCCUCACUGCCGACGACUUUUUCCGACGAAAUCCUUUUCCGACACCGACCAUACCAUCAAGUGCGCAAGGAGGAGAUCUUCAAGUUUUGUCAAAGCACCAGAGGGAGAUUCUCAGCCACGCGCCGGCCACGCGCAUUUCUUCUCCGGUGGCCUAAACCUCACGCGCCGGCGCGUGAGGGCGCGUGGAGCACUUUCCGGCCACGCGCUUCCACCUCCAGCCUCGCCUGACGCCGUCUAGCCACCCUCCAUCUGUGCUUGUCCUUUCCGAGCCCUGCAAGUGCAUUUUUGGGGGUUUUUUUGUCUCUACCAGCCCUCUAAACAGUCUUUCCAGCGACCUCCGGUGACUUCCUCUCCACCCUGAGCCCUGCACGUGUCUUAGGAAGUGUUCUUCUACCCUUCCAGUAGUGCCACAUUUGUUUUUCUUUACUAUUUGGUCUCUCACAGUCGCGGAUCCUCGGUUUUUCUUCUUUCAGCCGUGAUCUAAAGCCGUAUUAGGGUUCUCUUUGAUCCAAACAUAUUUCGUUCUCCAGAUAAGUAGAUAUGGCUACUAAAAGUUCCAUUUUUUCCUCUAUCAUAUCUGGAUCUCCUAUGAUUACUUCGGAGAAAUUGGUUGGCAGUGAAAAUUAUUUGUCCUAGUCUGCCUCUGUGGAGCUUUGGUUUAUGGGUCAAAGUUAUGAGGAUUACCUUGUUAUGCAGGAGGCGGAUAUCCCUAAGGUUGACAGAGUACAAUGGAGAAAGAUAGAUGCACAGUUAUGUAGUGUGUUAUGGUAAUCGAUUGAUCCUAAGAUUCUGCUUCAUCUUCGGGCCUACAAAACAUGCUUUAAAUUUUGGAAUCAGGCGAAAGGGCUAUACAGGAAUGAUAUCCAACGUCUUUAUAAGGUGGCUUCUUCUAUUGUCAAUGUCAGACAACAAGACAUGGAUUUAUCUACUUAUAUUGGUCAGAUUGCCUCUCUUAAGGAGGAAUUCUUGACCGUGAUGCCUCUUACUACCGAUGUUGGGGAUCAACGAACACAGAUUGACAAGUUCUUCAUGGUUCUUACACUUAUUGGCCUCCGUCCAGAUCUUGAGACCAUCUACGAUCAAAUUCUUGGCAGUUCCUCCGUUCCAUCCUUGGAUGAUGUGUUUGUUCGCCUCCUCCGUAUCUCCUCCACUCAGAAUUUGCCAUUUGAUAACACUUCAGAUUCUUCUGUGUUAGUUUCUCAAACUAACUCUCGAGGAGGACGCAGUGGUAACCGAGGUAGAAGCCAACGUUCUCAUUACACCUAUUGCAAUAAGCUUGGCCACACUCGUGAUCGGUGUUAUCAGUUACAUGGGCGGCCUUCCCGCCCUGCCCACAUGGCCCAGUCAUCUGAUCCUCAGCCGCCUCAGCCUCCCAGUUCCUCCACAUCUCGGGGUAUUUCCCUCACUGACAGUGAGUAUGAUGACUUUCUCCGCUAUCAGGCCACCAAGUCAGCUUCUGUUGCCCAAACUGGUAAUGCUUCUGCUUGUCUUACCCACACAUCUUCUCUUGGACCUUGGAUUCUAGAUUCUGGCACUUCUAAUCACAUAUCUGGUAAUAAGGAUCUUUUCUCUUCUAUCACUACUACCUCUGCCAUACCUAUUGUUACUUUAGCUAAUGGUUCCCAAACUAUGGCUAAAGGUUUUGGUUUUGCUCAUCCUCUCCCUUCCCUACCUCUCCAUUCUGUCCUUUAUGCCCCUGAGUGUCCUUUUAAUCUUAUUUCCAUCAGCAAAAUAACUCGUACUCUUAACUGUUCUAUCACUUUCUCUGAUAAAUUUGUGACCUUACAAGACCGGAGUACGAGGAAGACGAUUGGCAUAGGACAUGAGUCUCAAGGCCUCUAUCACCUCACCUCGCCUUCAACUCCUACAGUUUGCAUUUCUACUAAUGCUCCCCUCCUCAUCCACAGUCGCCUGGGCCACCCUAGUCCAUCCAACUUCCAGAAAAUGGUCCUUCGUUUUUCAUCUUUGUUGUCGCUUGCAUGUGAGUCCUGUCAACUUGGGAAACAUACUCGUGUCUCGUUCCCAAAGCGUUUGAAUAAUCAGGCAAAGUCUCCUUUUGAACUUGUCCACAUUGAUGUUUGGGGUCCUUGUCGGACCGCGUCUACUUUAGGAUUUCAGUAUUUUGUCACUUUCAUUUAUGACUAUUCUCGAUGUACUUGGUUAUUUUUAAUAAAAAAUCGAGUUGAGUUAUUCUCUAUUUUCCAGAAAUUUUAUGUUGAAAUUCAAACCCAGUUCAAUAUUUCUAUUCAUGUGUUACGCGAUGACAAUGCCAAGGAAUAUUUUUCUGCACCAUUUACUUCAUUUAUGUCCCAACAUGGGAUCCUUCAUCAGUCUUCUUGUGCUCAUACUCCUCAACAAAAUGGGGUAGCUGAACGUAAGAAUCUACAUCUUGUUGAGACAACUCGUACUCUUCUUCUCCAUAGUAAUGUUCAUUUUUCGUUUUUGGGAGGACGCUGUUCUUACAGCAUGUUAUUUGAUUAAUCGUAUGCCCUCAUCUGUAUUACACGAUCAAAUUCCUCAUUCCCUUCUUUUCCCUAACCAACCACUUUAUUUCCUUCCUCCUCGUGUUUUUUGUUGUACUUGCUUUGUUCAUAUUCUUACUCCUGGACAGGACAAACUUUCUGCCAAAGCCACAAAAUGCAUCUUCUUGGGAUAUUCCUGACUUCAAAAGGGUUAUCGUUGUUAUUCCUCUGAGACUCAUCGCUACUUUCUCUUCGUUGAUGUCACUUUCUUUGAGGACUCACCAUUCUUCUCCACCUCUGAGUCUCUUCCUGUUUUUGAAGUCUUACCCUUUCCCAUUAUCUCAUUACCUGAUGCAGUGCCUUCUCGCCCACUUCAGGUUUAUCAUCGCCGUCAUCAUGUCGUUGUUCCUUCUUCUUUGGCCGAGGUACCUGCUGACUCACUUCCUAUCCCUUCGGCUUCUCCUGCCCCGACUCUACCCCCUUCUGCUGACUUACCCAUUGCUCUUCGGAAAGGUAAUCUAUCUAUUCGUAAUCCUCAUCCCAUUUACAAUUUUUUGAGUUACCAUCGAUUAUCUUCACCCUAUUCUACAUUUGUUUCUGCUAUAUCUUCUGUCUCUCUUCCCAAGAGCACCCCUGAGGCUCUUUCCCAUCCAGGCUGGCGACAGGCAAUGGUAGAUGAAAUGGUUGCAUUACACUCCAAUGGCACUUGGGAUCUUGUUGUUUUACCCUCUAGUAAAUCUACAGUUGGUUGUCAUUGGGUCUACACAGUUAAGGAUGACCCUGAUGGUCAAGUUGAUCGCCUUAAGGCCCACUUAGUUGCUAAAGGCUAUACUCAGGUUUAUGGUUCUGAUUAUGAUGACACUUUCUCUCCUGUUGCCAAGAUAGCUUCUACUCGUCUAUUGCUCUCCAUGGCUGCUAUGCGUUCUUGGCCUCUUUAUCAGUUAGAUAUUAAAAAUGUUUUCCUUCAUGGGGAUCUUGCUAAGGAAGUUUAUAUGGAGCAACCACUUGGUUUUGUUGCUCAGGGGGAGUCUGGUUUAGUGUGCAGGUUACGCCGUUUUCUAUAUGGCUUGAAACAAUCUCCUCAAGCAUGGCUUAGCUGUUUUAGUUCUGUUGUUUAGGACUUUGGCAUGUUCCGCAGUACAGCAGACCAUUCCGUUUUCUAUCAUCAUAACUCUUUGGGGCAGUGUAUUUAUCUGAUAGUUUAUGUGGACGACAUCGUCAUUACAGGCAGUGAUCAAAAUGGUAUUCAGAAACUAAAGCAACACCUUUUCACCCACUUUCAGACUAAAGACUUGGGGAAACUCAAGUAUUUCUCAGGGAUUGAGAUAGCUCAAUCCAGUUCCGGUGUGGUUCUUUCCCAAAGGAAGUAUGCUUUAGACAUCUUAGAAGAAACUGGUAUGUUAGAUUGUAAACCGGUAGACACUCCUAUGGAUCCAAAUGUCAAACUUAUAGCAGGACAGGGGGAUCCUUUAGGAGAUUCUGGGAGAUAUCGGCAACUUGUAGGUAAACUGAACUACCUCACCAUUACUCAUCCAGACAUUUCUUUUCCUAUAAGUGUUGUUAGUCAAUUCCUACAGUCACCAUGUGAUAGCCAUUGGGAUGCUGUAAUCCGCAUUCUUCGAUAUAUCAAAAGCACACCAGGCCAAGGUGUGUUGUAUGAGAACAGAGGUCAUACCCAGGUUGUUGUAACACAUAUGCAGAUUGGGCUGACUCACCCACAGAUAGACGUUCCACUUCUGGGUAUUGUGUUUUUAUUGGAGGUAACCUAAUAUCUUAGAAGAGUAAAAAACAAGAUGCAGUGGUCAGAUCUAGUGUUGAAACCGAGUAUUGAGCUAUGGCUCUGGCAACAUGUGAACUCAUAUGGCUAAAACAUCUUCUUCGGGAGUUAAGAUUUGGAAAGGAUGAACAGAUGAAGCUCAUCUGUGACAACCAAGCCGCUUUGCAUAUUGCAUCCAAUCCAGUCUUCCAUGAAAGGACCAAACACAUUGAAGUUGAUUGUCACUUCAUUAGAGAGAAGAUCGCAUCAGGAUGUGUGGCGACUAGUUUUGUCAAUUCAAAUGAUCAACUAGCAGAUAUUUUUACUAAAUCUCUGAGAGGUCCUAGAAUUAAAUACAUUUGUAACAAGCUUGGUGCUUAUAACAUAUAUGCUCUAGCUUAAGGGGGGAGUGUUAGAUAGUGUACAGUUAUUUCAGUUAUUUACUUUUCUUUUUCUUUCCUUAUUGUAUUAUGGGUCCCAUUAACAUGUAUAUAUAUACCCAAGUCCAAUGUAUAUUAUUGACAGUUUUUCAAUAACAAAAAUGAGGGAUUCUCCUUUUUCUCUCUUUUCACAGUUAAUACUCCAUUAUUUCUCUUCUAGGUGAGAUGAGUGUUUUAAAAGGCUAUUGAAGCUCCUCCAGGCAAAACUUUGCAAAUUAGCUUUGAGGCUAUAGCGUUAGUAUCGGAAAUUUGAGGCUUAAGCCUAACCCUAUUGAGAUUUAAACCUUAAAUACUCAAAAGGGGUUAGGGCCUUUGUGAGCUUUUUUCAUAUAUUUUAACAGAGGUUUAAUAACAAUAUUCAAUGGUUUUAAUGAGUUUUAUGCUUGGGUAUAGAUUUUGUAAGUAUUAUCUCGAUCUAAGGCUUUUAUAAAAUAAGUAGUUAGGUAGCUUCUAAUUAACCCUUUACAUGAAGGGGUAAAAAGAGAUUGAGAAGAAUAAAUAAACGAGUUGUUAGCUACUGUAGUGGUUGAGCUCAAUACAAAAUCAUUUUUUUUAUUAUUCAUGGAUAAAAGAAAAAGACCACCGCAAUUCAUGAAUAAAGAAGAAGGAUGGAUGAACAUUAAACACCAACAAGGAGGAUAAUAGAGUAAUUAAAUAUGAUUAUGGUUCUAAGAAGAUCCUACUAAUGAUAGUGAACAUGGUGUUGAAGAUUAUUUGAUGAAGCCAUGGAAAAGUACUGGAUUUUAGAAGAAAGAGAAACUAAAUUAAAAAGUAUCAACAUGACAAACAAUUCAUUUGAUUAUUAUGAAUUUUAUAUCUCGAUAUACAAUUUUCAUAUGAUUUUAUUAGUAUUAUAUAUAUAUAUAUAUAUUGUUUAAGUUAGAUUCACUUCUUGCUCUACUUCAAGGCUUACUUCUUGCCUCAUUGGGUGAGACUCCUACAAGGCUCUAGUAAGACUCUAAGCCCUUCCAAUUAUUUCUUCUCCAUCUUCUCUUACUUUUUCCCAAUGCGAAAAAUUUUAAUUCCUUGUUCCAGUAUUUAAAUUCUAAAAAGAAUAAAGCUCAGCACACCUAAUUUGAUUAUAGACAACUACCACAAUAUUAUCCUACAUCAAUAAUAUAUAUGUCAGAAAUUGUAUCUAUUUUAUAAUUAAAAUACAAUGUAAGUCGAUAUGUGAUACAGAUAGAUGUACUGUUCGUUACUAUGCUAAUUUCAUUUGCUUGUUCUUUAGCAUUAAUAAUACCAUUAACUUCUUGUUAUCGUUCAGUGUCUUAUCCUAGUUUGUUGUGAUGGGUGGUGAAAAAACAACGAUGCCAUUUCAGUCAUUGAAAAAAACUUCCCAGUCCACAGGGGUCCAAUUGAUUUACUUGGUUUCAUGCCUGAGAGAAAAGAGCAGUUAGAAUGUGGAGUUAAUGAAAAGUAUUUAAUAUCACACCUUUGGGCCUGCAAAUCCAUUGCCUCUUUCCCACCACAAUACGAAUCUGAUUUAAGGUUGAUACGCAGUUUUCUUUUGCAUCGUGGUGAUUCUACAAACAGAAUUCCCUGACUGAGGUCAAUAAAAGUAGUAAUAAGGUGCAUUUCUGGAACCUACAAAACCAGAUGCAAAGAGGUUAGAUUCUAUCUUAACAUAUUAGUAAGGAUUGAUGCUUUGUCUACUAGCUGACAAAAGAAAAAUGGAAACAAAAGCCCUUACCUCUAACCACCUACAUGGCAACAUUACUACAAAAUGUAUUCAAAUUUACAACCAGAUAUAGAAUGAAGAUCACUCAACAAGUUAAAAGGCAGUAAAAAAACUUGUAGUUCACACGGAUGUUGGUAUUUAAACCAUAAAAAAGUUGAACUUCUAUUUAUUUAUUCAUGUUUAUUAUACUGGGACACAAUAAAGUUUCAGGCUGAGUCCACUUUACAUGACAAAUAUAAUGUGAUGUAUGAUGAGUUUCAGCAAGUCCUUUGAUAUGAGCUAAAGCAAGACUCGUUGUCUUCAUUUUAACUCUGUUGAGAGAGAGAGAAAGAAGAAAAACCUUAAUUCUCAUUCAUGUAAUGUCUACUUACAAUUGAGAGAUAUAUAUAUACAAGGCUAGGAGUCCUAACUACCAUACAUGUGACCUAUAUUAACAAGGAAAGAUAAUAUACUAUAAAUACAUUAUAUUCAACACUCCCCCUCAAGCUGGAGCAUAUACGUCAUAUGCACCAAGCUUGUUACAAAUAUAUUUAAUCCUAGGACCUCUGAGAGAUUUAGUGAAGAUGUCUGCUAGUUGAUCAUUUGAAUUGACAAAACUUGUAGCAAUACAUCCUGAUGCGAUCUUCUCUCUAAUAAAAUGAUAGUCAACUUCAAUAUGCUUGGUCCUUUCAUGAAAGACUGGAUUGGAUGCAAUAUGUAAUGCGGCCUGGUUAUCACAGAUGAGUUUCAUCUGUUCAUCCUUUCCAAAUCUCAACUCCUGAAGAAGAUGUCUCAACCAUAUGAGUUCACAUGUUGCCAAAGCCAUAGCUCGAUACUCGGCUUCAGCGCUAGAUCUGGCCACUACAUCUUGUUUCUUACUCUUCCAAGAUAUUAGAUUACCUCCAAUAAAAACACAGUACCCUGAAGUGGAACGUCUAUCUGUGGGUGAGCCAGCCCAAUCUGCAUCUGUGUAACCAACAACUUGAGUAUGACCUCUAUUCUGGUACAAUACACCUUGGCCUGGUGUACUUUUGAUAUAUCGAAGAAUACGGAUUACGACAUCCCAAUGGCUAUCACAUGGUGACUGUAGGAAUUGACUAACAACACUCACAGGAAAAGAAAUGUCUGGACGAGUAAUGGUGAGAUAGUUCAAUUUACCUACGAGCCGUCGAUAUCUCCCGGGGUCUCCUAAAGGCUCCCCCUGUCCUGGUACAAGUUUGACAUUCGGAUCCAUAGGUGUGUCUACCGGUUUACAGUCUAACAUACCGGUUUCUUCCAGGAUGUCUAAAGCAUACUUCCUUUGGGAAAGGACCACACCAGAAUUGGAUUGAGCUAUCUCAAUUCCCAAGAAAUACUUGAGUUUCCCCAAGUCUUUGGUCUGAAAGUGGGUAAAAAGAUGUUGCUUUAGUUUCUGAAUACCAUCCUGAUCACUGCCUGUAAUGACGAUGUCGUCCACAUAAACAACCAGAUAAAUACACUGCCCCAAGGAGUUAUGAUGAUAAAAAACUGAAUGGUCUGCUGUACUGCGAAGCAUGCCAAACUCUUGAACAACAGAACUAAAACGGCUAAACCAUGCUCGAGGAGAUUGUUUCAAGCCAUAUAGAGAACGGCGUAACCUGCACACUAAACCAGACUCCCCCUGAGCAACAAAACCAGGAGGUUGCUCCAUAUAAACUUCCUCGGCAAGAUCACCAUGAAGGAAGGCAUUUUUAAUAUCCAACUGAUAAAGAGGCCAAGAACACAUAGCAGCCAUGGAGAGAAGCAAGCGGACAGAAGCAAUCUUGGCAACAGGUGAGAAUGUGUCACCAUAAUCAGAACCAUAAACUUGAGUAUAGCCUUUAGCAACUAAGCGGGCCUUAAGGCGAUCAACCUGACCAUCAGGACCAACCUUAACUGCAUAGACCCAACGACAACCAACUGUAGAUUUACCAAAGGGUAAAACAACAAGAUCCCAAGUGCCAUUAGAGUGCAGAGCAGCCAUUUCAUCCACCAUUGCCUGUCGCCAGCCUGGAUGGGAAAGAGCUUCAUGGGUGCUCUUUGGAAGAGAAACAGAUGAUAUAGCAGAAACAAAAGCAGAAUAGGGUGAAGAUAAUCGAUGAUAACUCAAAAAAUUGUAAAUAGGAUGAGGAUUACGAGUAGAGCGAGUACCUUUCCGAACAGCAAUGGGUAAGUCAUUAGGAGAAGGCAGAGCCGGGGCAGGUGAAGCCGAAGGGAUAGGAAGUGAGUCAGCAGGUGCCUCAGGAAAAGGGAGAGGAGCAACGACACGAGGGCGACGAUGAUAAACCUGAAGUGGUCGAGGGGGCAUAGCAUCAGGUGGGGAGACAAUGGGAAUGGGCAAGACUUCAGAAACAGGAAGAGACUCAGAAGUGGUGGAAAAGAAUGGUGAGUCCUCAAAGAAGGUGACAUCAGCGGAGAUAAAGUAUCGAUGAGUCUCAAGGGAAUAACAACGAUAACCCUUCUGAAGUCUGGAAUAUCCCAAGAAGAGGCACUUCAUGGCUUUGGCGGAAAGCUUGUCUUGUCCAGGAGUGAGAAUAUGAACAAAGCAAGUACAACCAAAGACACGAGGAGGAAGGAAAUAAAGUGGUUGGUCAGGGAAAAGAAGGGAGUGAGGAAUCUGAUCGUGUAAGACAGAGGAGGGCAUACGAUUAAUCAAAUAACAAGCGGUAAGAACAGCGUCCCCCCAAAAACGAAAAGGAACGUGACUAUGGAGGAGGAGAGUACGAGUUGUCUCAACAAGAUGUCGAUUCUUGCGUUCAGCUACCCCAUUUUGUUGAGGAGUAUGAGCACAAGAAGACUGAUGAAGAAUCCCAUGAUGAGACAUAAACGAAGUAAAUUGGGC
rnacentral:lncRNA from 1 species